CUACCUCCCCCUGCCUUUAAAAAAAAAACCCCUAAAUUAAGUUCAAUUUCUUUCCUCUACAAUCACGGGCACGGAUUAAAAACUCAUUUUGCGGCUCUUUGGGAAGAGGCAUGGCACAGCGCCCGGCGAAAGGUUUCCCAGAGAUGGAUGGAUGACAAUUUUCCAUUUCCGGAGACGUUUGAAGACUCUUGCCAGCUACUUCUUCCAGAGUGUUGAAACCGGUUUUCCUUCCCCUUGCAGAAAGGGCGGACUAGAUGCCCUUUAAAAGGUUUCCUUCCCACUUGAUACAAUUCUCUAA